CAUACCACAACUCCACUGCCACAAUGUUGACAUCAGCCACCUGCUUGCCCACAUGAUGCCAAAAAUGCUGUCUGGCAUCUGCCCAGUACAGUUGAACUCGGGAUUCAACUGUGAAGAGCACGCUGCUCCAAUGUGCCAGUGGCCAUUGAAGACCAUACUGACAGAGGAAGAGGUCAACUGCAUCUGUGUGGACUGAAAGAAGGGGGGGGGCUGACCCUCUGCACACAGGCAGCCAAUAACAUCUGAGUCGUUGGCGCCCAGGUGGCCCACAUGAUUGACGUCUUCUGGACAAGGGCAUAUCUCAGGCUGUUGGCCACAUUGACUUCUACCCUAACGGAGGAGAGCACAUGCCUGUCUGUGACAAGAACAUUGUCUCUACCAUUAUGGACAUUGACUGCCUUUGGGAAGGGGAGAACUGACACAUAUUUGUACUGUGUCCUGAAAUCUGUAGAAUUGGGGAAAAAUGCUUAAAAGGCGAAGAUAGAUGAGGAUCAACCGCAAGGGAAAAUAACUCCCGAUUGCGUGAUAGAAAUGUACAGUGGGGCAAAAAAGUAUUUAGUC
ensembl:lncRNA